CCUACGGGUGGCAGCAGUGAGGAAUAUUGGUCAAUGGGCGUAAGCCUGAACCAGCCAAGUCGCGUGAGGGAUGAAGGUUCUAUGGAUCGUAAACCUCUUUUAUAAGGGAAUAAAGUGCGGGACGUGUCCCGUUUUGUAUGUACCUUAUGAAUAAGGAUCGGCUAACUCCGUGCCAGCAGCCGCGGUAAUACGGCGGAUCCGAGCGUUAUCCAGAUUUAUUGGGUUUAAGGGGUGCGUAGGCGGCCUUUUAAGUCAGCGGGGAAAGUCUGUGGCUCAACCAUAGCAUUGCCGUUGAAACUGGGAGGUUUAAGUAUGUUUGAGGCAGGCGGAAUGCGUGGUGUAGCGGUGAAAUGCUUAGAUUUCACGCAGAACCCCGAUUGCGAAGGCAGCCUGCCAAGCCAUGACUGACGCUGAUGCACGAAAGCGUGGGGAUCAAACAGGAGUAGAUACCCUAGUAGUC
rnacentral:rRNA from 1 species